GAAGAACUUUGAGCAUUUAUUGCUAAUUUAUUGGCUAGACAUGAAGAACUCAGAAAAGAGUUAAUUUCUACAAAGGCAUUGAAGUUACUAAAAUCACUCAGGAUAAAAAUAAUUCUAAAAGAUCAACUCACAUGCUUCUGAAGUGGUACUCGAAGAAAGCGAGGCUGUAAAGCCGUAAUAAAGAUGCCGACAACAUGAAAGUUAUUGGAGACUCAGAGAAGCUUCAAGAGCUUUACACGACUCA